rnacentral:rRNA from 1 species
UACGUAGGUGGCAAGCGUUGUCCGGAAUUACUGGGCGUAAAGUGUGCGCAGGCGGCCGAGCAAGUCGAGUGUGAAAGCCCCGAGCUUAACUUGGGAACUGCGCUCGAAACUACUUGGCUAGAGUGUGGCAGAGGGAGGUGGAAUUCCACGUGUAGCGGUGAAAUGCGUAGAGAUGUGGAGGAACACCGAUGGCGAAGGCAGCCUCCUGGGCCAACACUGACACUGAGGAGCGAAAGCCAGGGGAGCAAACGGG